GACGAACCGUGCGAACGUUGUUCGGAUUCACUGGGCUUAAAGGGCGCGUAGGCGGCCCGGUAAGUCCGCUGUGAAAGUCAAAGGCUCAACCUUUGAAUGUCAGCGGAUACUGCCGGGCUAGAGUCCGGAAGAGGCGAGUGGAACUCCUGGUGUAGCGGUGGAAUGCGCAGAUAUCAGGAAGAACACCAACGGCGAAGGCAGCUCGCUGGGACGGAACUGACGCUAAGGCGCGAAAGCGUGGGGAGCGAACAGG
rnacentral:rRNA from 1 species